rnacentral:misc_RNA from 1 species
AGUUAAACAGUACGUGAAAUUGUUGAAAGGGAAACGAUUGAAGUCAGUCAUACCAACGGGAAAUCAACCUUUUGAGUUCGGUCUCGUGGGUUUUGAAGAGUUUCAAAGCCUUCGGAUUCGCGGGAUUGGGAUCUCUUGGUGUACUUUUUCGUACGGUUAGUCAACAUCGGUUUUGAAUGUCAUAAAAUGACUGGAGGAAUGUAGCUUCGAUCUCGUAUUGAAGUGUUAUAGCCUUUGGUAGAUGUGAUGUUUGAGACCGAGGAUUGCAACGGAUACCCUUCAGGGCUAUUCGUCUGAUCUCUGAUACGUUGCCUUGAUGUUGAAAGCUUGCUUAUGAUGUUAGGGUAUUACGGUCAAAAGGUUAGAACGAAUUACAUUCGUUAAGGAUGUUGACGUAAUGACUUUAAA